AACGUAGGUGGCGAGCGUUAUCCGGAUUUACUGGGCGUAAAACGCGUGCAGGCGGUCUGGUAAGUCGGGCGUGAAAUCUCUCGGCUCAACCGAGAGAGGUCGUCCGAUACUGCUGGACUUGAGGGCAGUAGAGGAAGGUGGAAUUCCCGGUGUAGUGGUGAAAUGCGUAGAUAUCGGGAGGAACACCAGUGGCGAAGGCGGCCUUCUGGGCUGCCCCUGACGCUCAGACGCGAAAGCUAGGGGAGCGAACGGG
rnacentral:rRNA from 1 species